rnacentral:rRNA from 1 species
CUCCAGACUCCUACGGGAGGCAGCAGUGGGGAAUAUUGCACAAUGGGGGAAACCCUGAUGCAGCGACGCCGCGUGAGUGAGGAAGUAUUUCGGUAUGUAAAGCUCUAUCAGCAGGGAAGAAAAUGACGGUACCUGACUAAGAAGCCCCGGCUAACUACGUGCCAGCAGCCGCGGUAAUACGUAGGGGGCAAGCGUUAUCCGGAUUUACUGGGUGUAAAGGGAGCGUAGACGGCGAUGCAAGCCAGAUGUGAAAGCCCGGGGCUCAACCCCGGGACUGCAUUUGGAACUGUGUGGCUGGAGUGUCGGAGAGGCAGGCGGAAUUCCUAGUGUAGCGGUGAAAUGCGUAGAUAUUAGGAGGAACACCAGUGGCGAAGGCGGCCUGCUGGACGAUGACUGACGUUGAGGCUCGAAAGCGUGGGGAGCAAACAGGAUUAGAUACCCUUGUA